rnacentral:rRNA from 1 species
UACGGAGGGUGCAAGCGUUAAUCGGAAUUACUGGGCGUAAAGCGCGCGUAGGCGGCUUGGUAAGUCGGAUGUGAAAGCCCCGGGCUCAACCUGGGAACUGCAUUCGAUACUGCCGGGCUGGAGUACGAGAGAGGGGGGUGGAAUUCCAGGUGUAGCGGUGAAAUGCGUAGAGAUCUGGAGGAACACCAGUGGCGAAGGCGGCCCCCUGGUUCGAUACUGACGCUGAGGUGCGAAAGCGUGGGGAGUAAACAGG